GGGUGCGAUCAUACCAACACUAAUGCACCGGAUCCCAUUAGAACUCCGCAGUUAAGCGUGCACGGGCUAGAGUAGUACUAUGAUGGGUGACCUCCCGGGAAAUCCUCGGUUGCACCCG